rnacentral:rRNA from 1 species
UACGUAGGGGGCAAACGUUGUCCGGAUUUACUGGGUGUAAAGGGUGCUCAGGCGGUCUUGUAAGUCAGAAGUGAAAUCCUAGGGCUUAACUCUGGAACUGCUUUUGAUACUGCAAGGCUUGAGUAUGGAAGAGGAGGAUGGAAUUUCUGGUGUAGCAGUGAAAUGCGUAGAUAUCAGAAAGAACACCAGUGGCGGAGGCGGUCCUCUGGUCCAUUUACUGACGCUAAAGCACGAAAGCGUGGGGAGCAAACAGGAUUAGAUACCCCGGGUAGU